rnacentral:rRNA from 1 species
CCUACGGGAGGCAGCAGUGAGGAAUAUUGGUCAAUGGACGAGAGUCUGAACCAGCCAAGUAGCGUGAAGGAUGACUGCCCUAUGGGUUGUAAACUUCUUUUAUAAAGGAAUAAAACGAGGCACGUGUGCCUUUUUGCAUGUACUUUAUGAAUAAGGAUCGGCUAACUCCGUGCCAGCAGCCGCGGUAAUACGGAGGAUCCGAGCGUUAUCCGGAUUUAUUGGGUUUAAAGGGAGCGUAGAUGGGUUGUUAAGUUAGUUGUGAAAGUUUGCGGCUCAACCGUAAAAUUGCAAUUGAUACUGGCAGUCUAGAGUACAGUUGAGGUAGGCGGAAUUCGUGGUGUAGCGGUGAAAUGCUUAGAUAUCACGAAGAACCCCGAUUGCGAAGGCAGCUUACUAAACUGUGACUGACAUUGAUGCUCGAAAGUGUGGGUAUCAAACAGGAUUAGAUACCCCAGUAGUC